CUCCACAAAAUGUUGUAUAUAAUUAUUGUUCAUAGGAUGUAAUAUUAAAGUAGCGGAACCUUUCCUUGGGAAUUUGUUUGGGAGGGGAUGUUAUUGGUGAGACACUUUGGUGGGGCUUCCUCGUGUGUGCCAUGCGGUUGCCUCAGUCUGUUUCCGGAUGAGGCCGAUGACGCAUGUCCUUCUCGCUUCUCCCUUCAAUAUACAAAUAUUGUGUGUGUACUGGUGAAGGAGAAGCUGACGCCCCGUGUCUCAUCUUUUAUUUCUUUUCUUACAGUAAAAAAAGAGCUGAGUUUCAUUGAUUGGUGGUGUGGUCUUUGUAUGUGUGUGAGAGUGACCGGU